UGAAUCCACUCAGUUGGAUCCUUCCUUGUAGUUGAGGUGACGACAGGUAGCCUUGAGGGUAUACUUCUCCUUGGAGGGCGAGCUCUGAUCUAAGUGGUCUAUGUGAACCCUUGAUGUUUCCUUCAGAGAUGAAUCCUAUCCGGCCAUUUUGCCAAAGAGGGUUAGUGACCUUUAGGAAAAUCUACAUUGCCAAGGUUUAUGAGGUACGAGUUCACCUAUUGUAACUUGUCAAACUACCUGCUAAACUAUUGAGAAGGCUAGUAUAAAUGCUGUGAGAAAUUUCCUUGACUUUGCACUACAGACACCAGGCCAAAGCACAUAAUUUGGUUGAACUUAAUGGUAGAAGAGAUCUCAAAGGAAAUCCUUCUUCGCAGCAUCAUCCAAGUAACUGGGUUGGUGCAGGUGAUGACGAUGAUGAUGAAGAUGAGGAUGAGGAUGAGGAUGAGGAUGAGCUAUAUGUGCAGUCAACACCUAAAUGAAAAUAUUCAAAUGGAUGGUUUAUUUCUUUUUCUGUUUCUGAACUGUUGGGUUGCUAUAAUUCUGCGAACCUUUUGUUAUCUCAAUUUCUAUCACAGGCUUCUUCAUUUAUAAUAAAAAUUGUAGUGGCAUGUACUCAA